rnacentral:rRNA from 1 species
AUGCGCANCCUACACACGCAAGNUCGAACGGUAACAGACCGCUGUGAUCCCUUCGGGGUGAACUUGGUGCUGACGAGUGGCGGACGGGUGAGUAAUACAUAGGAAUCUGCCCAGUAGUGGGGGACAACCUGGGGAAACCCAGGCUAAUACCGCAUACGCCCUACGGGGGAAAGGCUUCGGUCGCUAUUGGAUGAGCCUAUGUCUGAUUAGCUUGUUGGUGGGGUAACGGCCUACCAAGGCGACGAUCAGUAGCUGGUCUGAGAGGACGACCAGCCACACUGGGACUGAGACACGGCCCAGACUCCUACGGGAGGCAGCAGUGGGGAAUUUUCCGCAAUGGGCGAAAGCCUGACGGAGCAAUCUCGCGUGAGGGAUGACUGCCUAUGGGUUGUAAACCUCUUUUUUCAGGGAGGAACAAAAUGACGUGUACCUGAAGAAUAAGCAUCGGCUAACUCCGUGCCAGCAGCCGCGGUAAGACGGAGGAUGCAAGUGUUAUCCGGAAUCACUGGGCGUAAAGCGUCUGUAGGUUGUUUAAUAAGUCAACUGUUAAAUCUUGAAGCUCAACUUCAAAAUCGCAGUCGAAACUAUUAGACUAGAGUAUAGUAGGGGUAAAGGGAAUUUCCAGUGGAGCGGUGAAAUGCGUAGAGAUUGGAAAGAACACCGAUGGCGAAGGCACUUUACUGGGCUAUUACUGACACUCAGAGACGAAAGCUAGGGUAGCAAAUGGGAUUAGAUACCCCAGUAGUCCUAGCCGUAAACAAUGGAUACUAGAUGUUGAACAGAUCGACCUGUGCAGUAUUAAAGCUAACGCGUUAAGUAUCCCGCCUGGGAAGUAUGCUCGCAAGAGUGA